GGGUUGUGAGGUUAAGCGACUAAGCGUACACGGUGGAUGCCCUGGCAGUCAGAGGCGAUGAAGGACGUGCUAAUCUGCGAUAAGCGUCGGUAAGGUGAUAUGAACCGUUAUAACCGGCGAUUUCCGAAUGGGGAAACCCAGUGUGUUUCGACACACUAUCAUUAACUGAAUCCAUAGGUUAAUGAGGCGAACCGGGGGAACUGAAACAUCUAAGUACCCCGAGGAAAAGAAAUCAACCGAGAUUCCCCCAGUAGCGGCGAGCGAACGGGGAGCAGCCCAGAGCCUGAAUCAGUGUGUGUGUUAGUGGAAGCGUCUGGAAAGGCGCGCGAUACAGGGUGACAGCCCCGUACACAAAAAUGCACAUACUGUGAGCUCGAUGAGUAGGGCGGGACACGUGGUAUCCUGUCUGAAUAUGGGGGACCAUCCUCCAAGGCUAAAUACUCCUGACUGACCGAUAGUGAACCAGUACCGUGAGGGAAAGGCGAAAAGAACCCCGGCGAGGGGAGUGAAAAAGAACCUGAAACCGUGUACGUACAAGCAGUGGGAGCACGCUUCGGCGUGUGACUGCGUACCUUUUGUAUAAUGGGUCAGCGACUUAUAUUCUGUAGCAAGGUUAACCGAAUAGGGGAGCCGAAGGGAAACCGAGUCUUAACUGGGCGUUAAGUUGCAGGGUAUAGACCCGAAACCCGGUGAUCUAGCCAUGGGCAGGUUGAAGGUUGGGUAACACUAACUGGAGGACCGAACCGACUAAUGUUGAAAAAUUAGCGGAUGACUUGUGGCUGGGGGUGAAAGGCCAAUCAAACCGGGAGAUAGCUGGUUCUCCCCGAAAGCUAUUUAGGUAGCGCCUCGUGAACUCAUCUUCGGGGGUAGAGCACUGUUUCGGCAAGGGGGUCAUCCCGACUUACCAACCCGAUGCAAACUGCGAAUACCGGAGAAUGUUAUCACGGGAGACACACGGCGGGUGCUAACGUCCGUCGUGAAGAGGGAAACAACCCAGACCGCCAGCUAAGGUCCCAAAGUCAUGGUUAAGUGGGAAACGAUGUGGGAAGGCCCAGACAGCCAGGAUGUUGGCUUAGAAGCAGCCAUCAUUUAAAGAAAGCGUAAUAGCUCACUGGUCGAGUCGGCCUGCGCGGAAGAUGUAACGGGGCUAAACCAUGCACCGAAGCUGCGGCAGCGACACUAUGUGUUGUUGGGUAGGGGAGCGUUCUGUAAGCCUGUGAAGGUGUGCUGUGAGGCAUGCUGGAGGUAUCAGAAGUGCGAAUGCUGACAUAAGUAACGAUAAAGCGGGUGAAAAGCCCGCUCGCCGGAAGACCAAGGGUUCCUGUCCAACGUUAAUCGGGGCAGGGUGAGUCGACCCCUAAGGCGAGGCCGAAAGGCGUAGUCGAUGGGAAACAGGUUAAUAUUCCUGUACUUGGUGUUACUGCGAAGGGGGGACGGAGAAGGCUAUGUUGGCCGGGCGACGGUUGUCCCGGUUUAAGCGUGUAGGCUGGUUUUCCAGGCAAAUCCGGAAAAUCAAGGCUGAGGCGUGAUGACGAGGCACUACGGUGCUGAAGCAACAAAUGCCCUGCUUCCAGGAAAAGCCUCUAAGCAUCAGGUAACAUUAAAUCGUACCCCAAACCGACACAGGUGGUCAGGUAGAGAAUACCAAGGCGCUUGAGAGAACUCGGGUGAAGGAACUAGGCAAAAUGGUGCCGUAACUUCGGGAGAAGGCACGCUGAUAUGUAGGUGAAGUCCCUCGCGGAUGGAGCUGAAAUCAGUCGAAGAUACCAGCUGGCUGCAACUGUUUAUUAAAAACACAGCACUGUGCAAACACGAAAGUGGACGUAUACGGUGUGACGCCUGCCCGGUGCCGGAAGGUUAAUUGAUGGGGUUAGCGGUAACGCGAAGCUCUUGAUCGAAGCCCCGGUAAACGGCGGCCGUAACUAUAACGGUCCUAAGGUAGCGAAAUUCCUUGUCGGGUAAGUUCCGACCUGCACGAAUGGCGUAAUGAUGGCCAGGCUGUCUCCACCCGAGACUCAGUGAAAUUGAACUCGCUGUGAAGAUGCAGUGUACCCGCGGCAAGACGGAAAGACCCCGUGAACCUUUACUAUAGCUUGACACUGAACAUUGAGCCUUGAUGUGUAGGAUAGGUGGGAGGCUUUGAAGUGUGGACGCCAGUCUGCAUGGAGCCGACCUUGAAAUACCACCCUUUAAUGUUUGAUGUUCUAACGUUGACCCGUAAUCCGGGUUGCGGACAGUGUCUGGUGGGUAGUUUGACUGGGGCGGUCUCCUCCUAAAGAGUAACGGAGGAGCACGAAGGUUGGCUAAUCCUGGUCGGACAUCAGGAGGUUAGUGCAAUGGCAUAAGCCAGCUUGACUGCGAGCGUGACGGCGCGAGCAGGUGCGAAAGCAGGUCAUAGUGAUCCGGUGGUUCUGAAUGGAAGGGCCAUCGCUCAACGGAUAAAAGGUACUCCGGGGAUAACAGGCUGAUACCGCCCAAGAGUUCAUAUCGACGGCGGUGUUUGGCACCUCGAUGUCGGCUCAUCACAUCCUGGGGCUGAAGUAGGUCCCAAGGGUAUGGCUGUUCGCCAUUUAAAGUGGUACGCGAGCUGGGUUUAGAACGUCGUGAGACAGUUCGGUCCCUAUCUGCCGUGGGCGCUGGAGAACUGAGGGGGGCUGCUCCUAGUACGAGAGGACCGGAGUGGACGCAUCACUGGUGUUCGGGUUGUCAUGCCAAUGGCACUGCCCGGUAGCUAAAUGCGGAAGAGAUAAGUGCUGAAAGCAUCUAAGCACGAAACUUGCCCCGAGAUGAGUUCUCCCUGACCCUUUAAGGGUCCUGAAGGAACGUUGAAGACGACGACGUUGAUAGGCCGGGUGUGUAAGCGCAGCGAUGCGUUGAGCUAACCGGUACUAAUGAACCGUGAGGCUUAACCUUACAACGCCGAAGCUGUU
rnacentral:rRNA from 1 species